AUCUUUUACGGUUACGGAGGAGUAGUGGCCACAAGAAAAACAGUGUUUGGGGAGGUAACUCUUACAACGUAAAGUAUUUGGUUACGCAGUUGUCAGUUUUUAAAGCGCAUACACUUUACGAUAUCAUAUUUCAUAUAUCUAAGCGACAUCUUGUGAAACAACAAUACUACGCAAGAAAGAAAUUAGGCGGAAGAAAAAAAAAAAUAAUAAUAAUAAUCAGAAC
rnacentral:lncRNA from 1 species